AGUGAACGCUGGCGGUAGGCCUAACACAUGCAAGUCGAACGGCAGCACAGUAAAGGCUUGCUCUUACGGGAGGCGAGUGGCGGACGGGUGAGAAAUACAGCGGAAUCUACUUUUUCGUGGGGGAUAACGUAGGGAAGCUAACGCUAAUCCCGUAUACGACCUACGGGUGAAAGCAGGGCAUCUUCGGACCUUGCGCGAGGGAAUGAGCCGAUGUGGGAUUAGCUAGUUGGCGGGGUAACGGCCCACCAAGGCGACGAUCCCUAGCUGGUCUGAGAGGAUGACCAGCCACACUGGAACUGAGACACGGUCCAGACUCCUACGGGAGGCAGCAGUGGGGAAUAUUGCACAAUGGGCGCAAGCCUGAUCCAGCCAUACCGCGUGUGUGAAGAAGGCCUUCGGGUUGUAAAGUCCUUUCGUCGGGGAGGAAGAGAGGAAAGUUAAUACCCCGGCUUAUUGACGGUACCCAAAGAAUAAGCACCGGCUAACUUCGUG
rnacentral:rRNA from 1 species